rnacentral:rRNA from 1 species
ACGGAGGAAAAGAAACCAACUGGGAUUACCUUAGUAACGGCGAGUGAAGCGGUAAAAGCUCAAAUUUGAAAUCUGGUACUUUCAGUGCCCGAGUUGUAAUUUGUAGAAUUUGUCUUUGAUUAGGUCCUUGUCUAUGUUCCUUGGAACAGGACGUCAUAGAGGGUGAGAAUCCCGUUUGGCGAGGAUACCUUUUCUCUGUAAGACUUUUUCGAAGAGUCGAGUUGUUUGGGAAUGCAGCUCAAAGUGGGUGGUAAAUUCCAUCUAAAGCUAAAUAUUGGCGAGAGACCGAUAGCGAACAAGUACAGUGAUGGAAAGAUGAAAAGAACUUUGAAAAGAGAGUGAAAAAGUACGUGAAAUUGUUGAAAGGGAAGGGCAUUUGAUCAGACAUGGUGUUUUUUGCAUGCACUCGCCUCUCGUGGGCUUGGGCCUCUCAAAAAUUUCACUGGGCCAACAUCAAUUCUGGCAGCAGGAUAAAUCAUUAAGAAUGUAGCUACUUCGGUAGUGUUAUAGCUUUUUGGAAUACUGUUAGCCGGGAUUGAGGACUGCGCUUCGGCAAGGAUGUUGGCAUAAUGGUUAAAUGCCGCCCGUCUGAAA